rnacentral:rRNA from 1 species
UACGGGGGGGGCAAGCGUUGUUCGGAAUUACUGGGCGUAAAGGGCUCGUAGGCGGCCAACUAAGUCAUACGUGAAAUCCCUCGGCUUAACCGGGGAACUGCGUCUGAUACUGGAUGGCUUGAGAUUGGGAGAGGGAUGCGGAAUUCCAGGUGUAGCGGUGAAAUGCGUAGAUAUCUGGAGGAACACCGGUGGCGAAGGCGGCAUCCUGGACCAACACUGACGCUGAGGAGCGAAAAGCCAGGGGGAGCAAACGGG